rnacentral:rRNA from 1 species
AGUUAAUAGCUGCUAGCUGUGACGUUACUGACAGAAGAAGCACCGGCUAACUCCGUGCCAGCAGCCGCGGUAAUACGGAGGGUGCGAGCGUUAAUCGGAAUUACUGGGCGUAAAGCGUACGCAGGCGGUUUGUUAAGCGAGAUGUGAAAGCCCCGGGCUCAACCUGGGAACUGCAUUUCGAACUGGCAGACUAGAGUGUGAUAGAGGGUGGUAGAAUUUCAGGUGUAGCGGUGAAAUGCGUAGAGAUCUGAAGGAAUACCGAUGGCGAAGGCAGCCACCUGGGUCAACACUGACGCUCAUGUACGAAAGCGUGGGGAGCAAACGGGAUUAGAUACCCCGGUAGUCCACGCCGUAAACG